GUGAACGCAUGCCCCUGGGUACAAGCAGCCGUUGGUACAAGGAGCUCUGCUCCUUGACACUGAACUAGUUAGAGCACAACCCUUGACUACAGGCCCCUGCGCCUCAGUGCUGGCUCAGUGCCUUUUCAAUGUUGUCUCUAACCAUGUCACAUCCAGAAAGCAGGUUUGACGAGAGACGCUGCGAGGGGGCUUGAUCACGUGACUUUUCUAAAGCGAUGAAGUGAGAAUCCAAGGCUGCGUCCACACUCACAUAGCUAGCCAUGUUCUGCAGGGAGAGAAUUCAUCACCCUCAGGAAGUUGGAUAGAGUUUUGAUCCUGUAUCAUCGUAGUCAUUGUCGUCAUUGACAUCAUCAUCAUCACAGAUGCCAAACGAGUCCAUGGUAGAGAAGGCCUUCUGAGUGUGGAACUUACUUUCGUCCAAAAGCAUGAACUUGACACUUGGAUCCACAAGGAAAAACCAGGCCCGCCAGGCAGGAAGGUCCACUCCCUCUCUGAUGGAGAGGCUCGUCCUGGAGCAGAUGACCUUGGAGAUUGCAUUAGAAUAAAAACAAAGAACACUUCCUGACCAGAUGGCUCUCCUCGUGUGGUGACGGGAUUGAGAGAUGGGACCACCAUGCAGCACCAAAGCCUUAAGAAAGACAGGCGGGAUCUUACCCCACCCCAAUACUUCCUCUGUUCAAGCCUAAAGCUCAAAUCAGCAUCCUGAAGAUGACUGUAGACAGCCUUCUUCUGUUUCUUGUCUGUUUUAGCUUGUAAUGGCUGCUGAAUAUAGGAUUCUGCCCUAACACUCUGGUUACAGUGUCUCUGACUGACCAGCCAGCUGCUGGGUACUGGCUACUGUGUAGGCAUGCAUUUUCACACAUUAUAUCUAUUAGGGUGGUGGAGACAAUUUUGGGUCGGUUAUGUUAUUAGCUGUGGAAGAGAGAACAGGCUCAUCGAGGCUGUUGGUUGCCUUGUCCAACAUGACACAGUGAAUUUCUCUUGCCUUGGGAUAUCCUUUCUGUCCCCUCCCCAGGACUUCCAACACAUGGUCACAGUACACAUUGUACAGUACAGGAGUUCAGUAAAUAUUUGUGGAAUAAACAAGU
rnacentral:lncRNA from 1 species